ensembl:piRNA 21ur-10581 ncRNA
UUGAAACGUCAUUUAAAAGUG